GACGAACGCUGGCGGCGUGCUUAACACAUGCAAGUCGAACGGAAAGGCCCUGCUUUUGUGGGGUGCUCGAGUGGCGAACGGGUGAGUAACACGUGAGUAACCUGCCCUUGACUUUGGGAUAACUUCAGGAAACUGGGGCUAAUACCGGAUAGGAGCUCCUGCUGCAUGGUGGGGGUUGGAAAGUUUCGGCGGUUGGGGAUGGACUCGCGGCUUAUCAGCUUGUUGGUGGGGUAGUGGCUUACCAAGGCUUUGACGGGUAGCCGGCCUGAGAGGGUGAACGGGCACAAUGGGACUGAGAUACGGCCCAGACUCCUACGGGAGGCAGCAGUGGGGAAUAUUGCACAAUGGGCGGAAGCCUGAUGCAGCAACGCCGCGUGCGGGAUGACGGCCUUCGGGUUGUAAACCGCUUUCGCCUGUGACGAAGCGUGAGUGACGGUAAUGGGUAAAGAAGCACCGGCUAACUACGUG
rnacentral:rRNA from 1 species